rnacentral:pre_miRNA from 1 species
ACAACAACAUUCGGACCGUCGGUCUACCGAGCAAUAUCACCCGCUCGGUGGAAGAUCUUCCCUUUGUCGUUAAGA